UUAAGCGACUAAGCGUACACGGUGGAUGCCCUGGCAGUCAGAGGCGAUGAAGGACGUGCUAAUCUGCGAAAAGCGUCGGUAAGGUGAUAUGAACCGUUAUAACCGGCGAUGUCCGAAUGGGGAAACCCAGUGUGAUUCGUCACACUAUCGUUAACUGAAUACAUAGGUUAACGAGGCGAACCGGGGGAACUGAAACAUCUAAGUACCCCGAGGAAAAGAAAUCAACCGAGAUUCCCCCAGUAGCGGCGAGCGAACGGGGAGCAGCCCAGAGUCUGAAUCAGCUUGUGUGUUAGUGGAACGGUCUGGAAAGUCCGACGGUACAGGGUGAUAGUCCCGUACACCAAAAUGCACAGGUUGUGAACUCGAAGAGUAGGGCGGGACACGUGGUAUCCUGUCUGAAUAUGGGGGGACCAUCCUCCAAGGCUAAAUACUCCUGACUGACCGAUAGUGAACCAGUACCGUGAGGGAAAGGCGAAAAGAACCCCGGCGAGGGGAGUGAAAAAGAACCUGAAACCGUGUACGUACAAGCAGUGGGAGCACCUUCGGGUGUGACUGCGUACCUUUUGUAUAAUGGGUCAGCGACUUAUAUUCUGUAGCAAGGUUAACCGUAUAGGGGAGCCGCAGGGAAACCGAGUCUUAACUGGGCGUUAAGUUGCAGGGUAUAGACCCGAAACCCGGUGAUCUAGCCAUGGGCAGGUUGAAGGUUGGGUAACACUAACUGGAGGACCGAACCGACUAAUGUUGAAAAAUUAGCGGAUGACUUGUGGCUGGGGGUGAAAGGCCAAUCAAACCGGGAGAUAGCUGGUUCUCCCCGAAAGCUAUUUAGGUAGCGCCUCGUGAAUUCAUCUUCGGGGGUAGAGCACUGUUUCGGCUAGGGGGUCAUCCCGACUUACCAACCCGAUGCAAACUACGAAUACCGAAGAAUGUUAUCACGGGAGACACACGGCGGGUGCUAACGUCCGUCGUGAAGAGGGAAACAACCCAGACCGCCAGCUAAGGUCCCAAAGUCAUGGUUAAGUGGGAAACGAUGUGGGAAGGCACAGACAGCCAGGAUGUUGGCUUAGAAGCAGCCAUCAUUUAAAGAAAGCGUAAUAGCUCACUGGUCGAGUCGGCCUGCGCGGAAGAUGUAACGGGGCUAAACCAUGCACCGAAGCUGCGGCAGCGACACUAUGUGUUGUUGGGUAGGGGAGCGUUCUGUAAGCCUGCGAAGGUGACCUGUGAGGGUUGCUGGAGGUAUCAGAAGUGCGAAUGCUGACAUAAGUAACGAUAAAGCGGGUGAAAAGCCCGCUCGCCGGAAGACCAAGGGUUCCUGUCCAACGUUAAUCGGGGCAGGGUGAGUCGACCCCUAAGGCGAGGCCGAAAGGCGUAGUCGAUGGGAAACAGGUUAAUAUUCCUGUACUUGGUGUUACUGCGAAGGGGGGACGGAGAAGGCUAUGUUAGCCGGGCGACGGUUGUCCCGGUUUAAGCAUGUAGGCUGAUUGUCCAGGCAAAUCCGGAUAAUCAAGGCUGAGGUGUGAUGACGAGGCACUACGGUGCUGAAGUAACAAAUGCCCUGCUUCCAGGAAAAGCCUCUAAGCAUCAGGUAACAUUAAAUCGUACCCCAAACCGACACAGGUGGUCAGGUAGAGAAUACCAAGGCGCUUGAGAGAACUCGGGUGAAGGAACUAGGCAAAAUGGUGCCGUAACUUCGGGAGAAGGCACGCUGGUGUGUAGGUGAAGUCCCUGCGGAUGGAGCUGAGACCAGUCGAAGAUACCAGCUGGCUGCAACUGUUUAUUAAAAACACAGCACUGUGCAAACACGAAAGUGGACGUAUACGGUGUGACGCCUGCCCGGUGCCGGAAGGUUAAUUGAUGGGGUUAUCCGUAAGGAGAAGCUCUUGAUCGAAGCCCCGGUAAACGGCGGCCGUAACUAUAACGGUCCUAAGGUAGCGAAAUUCCUUGUCGGGUAAGUUCCGACCUGCACGAAUGGCGUAAUGAUGGCCAGGCUGUCUCCACCCGAGACUCAGUGAAAUUGAACUCGCUGUGAAGAUGCAGUGUACCCGCGGCAAGACGGAAAGACCCCGUGAACCUUUACUAUAGCUUGACACUGAACAUUGAGCCUUGAUGUGUAGGAUAGGUGGGAGGCUUUGAAGCGUGGACGCCAGUCUGCGUGGAGCCAACCUUGAAAUACCACCCUUUAAUGUUUGAUGUUCUAACGUUGGCCCCUUACCGGGGUUGCGGACAGUGUCUGGUGGGUAGUUUGACUGGGGCGGUCUCCUCCCAAAGCGUAACGGAGGAGCACGAAGGUUAGCUAAUCCUGGUCGGACAUCAGGAGGUUAGUGCAAUGGCAUAAGCUAGCUUGACUGCGAGCGUGACGGCGCGAGCAGGUGCGAAAGCAGGUCAUAGUGAUCCGGUGGUUCUGAAUGGAAGGGCCAUCGCUCAACGGAUAAAAGGUACUCCGGGGAUAACAGGCUGAUACCGCCCAAGAGUUCAUAUCGACGGCGGUGUUUGGCACCUCGAUGUCGGCUCAUCACAUCCUGGGGCUGAAGUAGGUCCCAAGGGUAUGGCUGUUCGCCAUUUAAAGUGGUACGCGAGCUGGGUUUAGAACGUCGUGAGACAGUUCGGUCCCUAUCUGCCGUGGGCGCUGGAGAAUUGAGGGGGGCUGCUCCUAGUACGAGAGGACCGGAGUGGACGCAUCACUGGUGUUCGGGUUGUCAUGCCAAUGGCACUGCCCGGUAGCUAAAUGCGGAAGAGAUAAGUGCUGAAAGCAUCUAAGCACGAAACUUGCCCCGAGAUGAGUUCUCCCUGAGACUUUAAGUCUCCUGAAGGAACGUUAAAGACGAUGACGUUGAUAGGCCGGGUGUGUAAGCGCAGCGAUGCGUUGAGCUAACCGGUACUAAUGAACCGUGAGGCUUAACCUU
rnacentral:rRNA from 1 species